CGGUGGCAUCGUGGUGUUCGGAAUAGGCGGCGUGCUGUGAUUGGGCCACGUGUGUGGUGCGUGCGCACAAAAUGGUGUCAUCGCGGGACAAGCCGAUCAGACGAGCGACGGCUGCCUUCAGCGAACGACAUCGGACGGGGCUGGCAUUCCUGGAGACCCCCCAACGAUCCGAAGCUGGCGGUGGGUGCGAGGGUGGAGGCCGCCUGGCGUUCCGGAAUAACCAGGAACCAGUAGGCGGAAUCCAGGACGACUAAGCUACCGAGGACAGGCAUAUAUGGGUGCCUGGGACAACCGCGAGCGAACCCUGACCCACGACCUUGCACGCGUCGUCGCCGCCCCCGUCUUCGCACCAGCCACCUCACACCCUCGAUGUCUUCACCAUCCAGAGCCAGCGCCAACCCCGCCACAUCCACGCGUCCGAUGCCCGUUUCUAAGGAGAUGGAUCCACCAGAUUCACAGCGCAGGGUUCGACCCUCGGGAAUCAGGGAAUUGCCAUACGCGGUCGCCUUAGAGGCGGGCCUGAUCUAUACGGCUUGCCACGUGGUCUCCUACAUAUUCACCCAGACUGGUCAAAACAAGUCGUUCACACACUUCCGUCUCACUCGCUGCGACGCCUUCCAUUACUCCCACGAAAGUUAAGUGGCGAACUUUUGCGAGCCAGAAACGUUCGAGAAGCGCUACACGUGGAAAACUGUGCACGAAAGUGUGUGGGACGCUUUUGAGUGCCACUCUCGCGGGGCCCUCGGUGUAACCGCAGUGGGGUAGCCCUGGACGAGCUCGAGCUCGACUGCGCUAACUGGCUCGGAGACGACGGUGUGCCCGACCAGGUUAAGCUGAAGAAGCUGUGGCAGACAGUGUCUCCCAGGUAGCUCGCAGUGGCCGCACGUUGGCGCCUGCCUCUGGUGAUUCACUCCCGGGACGCAACAGCAGCCAAGAUCAGCAUUCUCAAGGAGAUGGUUCCGGCUGACUGCAUCGUACACCAGCACUGAUUUCCGGGUGACUGGACCGAGGCGAAGUGCUGGCUGGACAUUUUACCGCGGCUCUGCCUGGCCAUCACGCCGGUGCUGGGUUUCUCGGGAGUCGAACCGCUGGUCCAGGCCGCGCAAGUGACGGCGCAGGGUCAACUGUUCCUCGAGGCGGACGCACCGUUCUUCCUGCCCAAGAGGCCCACCUGCUGGCACACGGGCAUGGUCGUUCCACGUCGCAAUUUCCCUCACGACGUGAUCGCCGCGGUUCAGGAGAACGCGCGGCGCAUGCUACAGCAUAUACGUAGAUUCGAAUACUUCGAAUGCGUUAUACUUGUAUCUCGAUUAUUGAACGUUAUUUACAGCA